UUUUUUGAGAGUUUGAUCCUGGCUCAGGAUGAAUGCUGGUGGCGUGCCUUAGGCAUGCAAGUCGAACGGGUCCGACGUUACGUCGGACCAGUGGCGGACGGGUGAGUAAUACGUAGGAAUUUACCUCUUGGUGGAGGAUAGCUCAGCGAAAGUUGGGGUAAUCCUUUAUAAGCUGCGUUCAGUUACAUGAACGUAGGAAAGGCCGUAACUGGCCGCCGAGAGAGAAGCCUGCGUCCUAUCAGCUUGUUGGUGAGGUAAUGGCCCACCAAGGCGAUGACGGGUAGGGGACGUGAGAGCGUGAUCCCCCACAAGGUUACUGAGAUACGGAGCCUACUUCUACGGAAGGCAGCAACUAGGAAUAUUCGGCAAUGGGCGAAAGCCUGACCGAGCGACGCCGCGUGCGGGAUGAAGGCCUUCGGGUCGUAAACCGCUGUGGAGAGGGAAAAUUAUGAUUGUACCUCUCUAGAAAGCACCUGCUAACUACGUGCCAGAAGCCUCGGUGAAACGUAGGGUGCAAGCAUUAUCCGGAUUUAUUGGGCGUAAAGAGUAUCGUAGGCGGUUUGGUAAGUGAUUGGUGAAAGCCCUCCGCUCAACGGAGGAACUGCCAGUCAUACUGCCAGGCUAGAGUGAUUUCGGGAAGGCUGGAAUUCUCGGUGUAGGGGUGAAAUCCGUUGAUAUCGAGAAGAACACCAAGGGCGAAGGCAGGCCUUUAGAAAUCUACUGACGCUGAUGAACGAAAGCUUGGGGAGCAAAAGGGAUUGUAAUUGGUCCCAUUUCGCAGUGAUGCGGGAUUAAAAACCAACUAUAUCGGUGAAUCUCCUUGUAUUUUGGUUUAUCUUCGGGUAAGCUUUUAAUAUGAGGACAAUACCGAGGGAAGUUAACUCUAUUUUGAAUAAGACACGUUUUAAGUUAAGCAAGAUUCAAAAAAAUGUUUUGAUAGGUACUUUGCUUGGGGAUGGAGGAAUUCGAUUUAGAGGCAAAAAUUGCCGUUUGCAUAUUAAGCAUUCGGCAAACCAAUUGCCUUUAAUUAAUUACAAGAGAAAAGUAUUUUUUAAUAUAACUUCGAUGAAAGUAAGGAAGUUUAGUCAAACUGUUGGCAACAAAAACUACAAUUUUGCCGAGUUUGUAACUUUAACCCAUCCGGAGUUUACGAAAUAUUUUCAUUUGUUUUAUCCAUUUAAUAAAAAGCAAGUUCCAAAAAACAUUGAUGAUUUAUUGGUUAAUCCAUUAAGUUUAGCUAUAUGGUUUAUGGAUGAUGGUUCAGCAGAAUAUGCCGGAGCCUCAUUGCAAACACAUAGUUUUACAAAAGAAGAUGUGGAGAAAUUAAUGAAAUGCAUCAAGCUUAAUUUUAAAAUUGAUGUUAUCAAACGACUGAAUAAAGGAAAGUGGAUUAUUUAUUUUCCGAAAGCAAGUAUGUCUAGGUUGCAAAAAGCGACUGAAAGAUACAUGUUAAAGGAAUUUAUGUAUAAGCUGAAACCAUAUUCGGUUCGUAAGAGUUUAACCCCGUAGAGACUGUACGUUGGAAUCAGAUGAGAAAUCUGAUUAUGAUACAGUCCGAUCUGUGCAGUAAUGUACAGACUCCGAUAGAAACAUCGGAGCGCCCCGGUGAAAACCGCGGGUUAUUAAGUAACAGAAUGUAGAGACCCCUGUAGUCCAAGCCGUAAACGAUGUUCACUAGCUGGUCCGACGUCCGUCGGACUGGCGUAAGCUAACGCGUUAAGUGAACCGCCUGGGGAGUACGACCGCAAGGUUAAAACUCAAAGGAAUUGACGGGGAAACGCACAACCAGGGGAGCAUGUGGUUUAAUUCGAGACAAAGCGAAGAACCUUACCUGGGCUUGACAUCUAUUUGACAGCUCCGUGAAAACGGAGUCUUUCGCAAGAACAAUUAGACAGCUGCUGCAUGGCUGUCGUCAGCUCGUACCGUGAGGCGUCGGCUUAAGUGCCGCAACGAGCGCAACCCCUGUCCUGUGUUGCAUUUCACAGGAGACUGCCUCGCUACUAGCGGGGAGGAAGGAGGGGACGACGUCAAGUCAGCACGGCGCUUACGCCCAGGGCUACACACAUCCUACAAUGGUGAGGAACAACGGGCAGCAAAACCGCAAGGUUGAGCUAAUCCUAAAAUCCUCCCUCAGUUCAGAUUGUGGGCUGAAAUUCGCCCGCAUGAAGUUGGACUUGGUAGUAAUCGCGGGUCAGCAGACCGCGGUGAAUACGUUCCCGUUUCUUGUACACACCGCCCGUCACAUGAGGAAAGUCGGCAACGCCCGAAGCGGUUCGACGUUACGUCGGACAACUAAGGCGAGGUCGAUAAUCAGCGUGAAGUCGUAACAAGGUAUCCGUUCUGGAAGGAGCGGAUGGAUCACCUCCUUU
rnacentral:rRNA from 1 species